rnacentral:rRNA from 1 species
GUGGGGAAUCUUAGACAAUGGGGGAAACCCUGAUCUAGCCAUGCCGCGUGAGCGAUGAAGGCCUUAGGGUUGUAAAGCUCUUUCAGCUGGGAAGAUAAUGACUGUACCAGCAGAAGAAGCCCCGGCUAACUCCGUGCCAGCAGCCGCGGUAAUACGGAGGGGGCUAGCGUUGUCCGGAAUUACUGGGCGUAAAGCGCACGUAGGCGGACCGGAAAGUCAGAGGUGAAAUCCCAGGGCUCAACCUUGGAACUGCCUUUGAAACUCCUGGUCUUGAGGUCGAGAGAGGUGAGUGGAAUUCCGAGUGUAGAGGUGAAAGUCGUAGAUAUUCGGAGUAACACCAGUGGCGAAGGCGGCUCACUGGCUCGAUACUGACGCUGAGGUGCGAAAGCGUGGGGAGCAAACAGGAUUAGAUACCCGAGUAGUCC